rnacentral:rRNA from 1 species
UACGGAGGGGGCAAGCGUUAUUCGGAAUUACUGGGCGUAAAGCGCGCGCAGGUGGCUUGGUAAGUGGCAGGUGAAAGCCCUCGGCUCAACCGAGGAACUGCCUGCCAAACUGCUGAGCUUGAGUCCGGGAGGGGAGAGCGGAAUUCCUGGUGUAGCGGUGAAAUGCGUAGAUACCAGGAGGAACACCGGUGGCGAAGGCGGCUCUCUGGACCGGUUCUGACACUCAUGCGCGAAAGCGUGGGUAGCAAACAGG